GGUCCGUUGGUCAAGAGGUUAAGACACCGCCCUUUCACGGCGGAAUCGGGGGUUCAAUUCCCCCACGGAUCACCA
rnacentral:tRNA from 2 species